CAAUAGCGUAUAUUAAAGUUGUUGCAGUUAAAAAGCUCGUAGUUGGACUUCUGCGGGUGGCGGCCGGUCGUGCUCGAAACGGGCGUGAACUUGGCGUGCUGCCCGCAUCUUUGGGGAGAUUGUGCGUGGCAUUAAGUUGUCGUGCAUGGGAUUCUCAUCAUUUACUGUGAAAAAAUUAGAGUGUUUAAAGCAGGCCUUUGCCUUGAAUACAUUAGCAUGGAAUAAUAAGAUAGGACCGUUGUCUAUUUUGUUGGUUUACAGAUGUCGGUAAUGAUUAAUAGGGAUAGUUGGGGGUAUUCGUAUUCAGUUGUCAGAGGUGAAAUUCUUGGAUUUUCGGAAGACGCACGACUGCGAAANCANNNACCAAGGAUGUUUUCAUNAA
rnacentral:rRNA from 1 species